rnacentral:rRNA from 1 species
UACAGAGGGUGCAAGCGUUGUUCGGAAUUAUUGGGCGUAAAGAGCUCGUAGGCGGUUUGUCGCGUCUGCUGUGAAAACUCAGGGCUUAACUCUGAGCUUGCAGUGGGUACGGGCAGACUAGAGUGCGGUAGGGGAGACUGGAAUUCCUGGUGUAGCGGUGAAAUGCGCAGAUAUCAGGAGGAACACCGGUGGCGAAGGCGGGUCUCUGGGCCGUAACUGACGCUGAGGAGCGAAAGCAUGGGGAGCGAACAGG